UGGCUUAGACAGUAAAGCUUCUGCCUGCAAUGCGGGAGACCCAGGUUCAAUCCCUGG
rnacentral:tRNA from 1 species